CCCCUCCAGCCUACCCACCCGUCCCGCGGGAACCGGCCCGCGCUGGGUCCACUCUCCGCUUUCUGGCGGCGGCCGCCAGGUGGCGCCGAAGGCAGCCGCUCCAGCCUUGGAAACUGGGAUGGCCCAUAAAGGUCUUGAGGGUGAUGGGGGCUUGCCUCCUUGUCACUCUCCUGAACGGGCUGUGCCACGCGGUCGCCUCACCUGACUGCUGUAGUCAUGAAGUCCUAGGCCCGGACCACGGAGAUAGCGAGGUCAGGGACAGCUUAUAGCCUGGGGUUGUCAUGAACUAGUGAUAGCUUAGAAGGUGAAAAGACAGGGCAUGUUCUAGGAGUUGGCCCAGCAGAGACCUCCUCGGAGAGGUGAGUGCUGGCUCCUGCGCUUGGAAAUGGCAUCAGUGGGGCAGUACCUGUGGGGGAAUCCAUGGCAGGUGCCACCAUUAGUGGAUUAGAGAAGCUGAGUGCCAUGUAUGGACACCCUUGUUGAACAGACAGUGAUCGGGAGUCACGUUUCAAAGGUCAUGAUGUGGAAGACUGGGCGAAAGAACGUAACGUUGAAUGGAGGAUCCAUCUCCCCUAUAACCUGCAAGUAGCAGGGUUGGUAAAAAUAAUGAAAUUAAUAUUUAAUAAGUAGCAGAUUAAAUUACUAACAGGUAAAAACCACCUUGGCUGGGUGGACUAAAGUACUGUUUAAUCAGUUAAUACAUUUAAAUGAUUUUACAUACUGAAAUGAUCAACCAGUAAGGCCCGAUGCCCCACAUGCCAGAGUGGGGACCCCUGUCAAGACACCCAACACGGUAAAGGGGUGAAAAUGGUGGGAGACAGGCAUUGCCCUGACUGUCACCGUGGAUCAAUGUGCUAUGCUGUAGAGAAUACCAAGCGGCAUCAUGCCUGGGAAAGGCAUUAUCUACUGGAAUUUGCGAUGAGAUAUCCCACCAGGAUGGGUGAAUUACUUCACACCCUUGGGGGAGGAGCAACUACUCAGUCUCCACUGGGAUCCCAUUGUCCUGCUACAAGCUGGACCUGUUGAAACUCUCAGUACCUGGAAUGGAACACACACCACUGAGGGGAGAAGGUGGGGGUCCUGGUCUGGCAUAUCCGGCCCCCAGCCCAUCUGACAGUGCCUCCCCCACCCAGAUGGGCCCCCAGCCCAUCUGACAGUGCCUCCCCCACCCAACUUGUACGGUAUGUACAACCUGGUCAAGUUCCUAAAGCUGCCAGCCUCCCUCCCCGCAAGACCAGGUGGGCACGUUCUGUUUCCUACAUAUAGAAUCAUUUGGCUGCUGACUUUGUUCCCUCCAUGGUCCUGGAGGACAUUAUAGCCCUUACUGAAUUCACCCAGCAAGGCUUAAGUGACAACAAACAAAGCUUGUCCUUACUGAACGCUGAAACAUCUCUAAAGAGAAAGGCUGUCCUCCAAAAAAGAAGGGUCUUGAACAUUAUUACUGCCUUACAAGGAGGCAUCUGUGCCAUUAUCCAAACAGAACAUCGUGUGUUCAUACCUAGUGAGCCUGCCAGUGUGCCGUCUUAUUAAAUCACAUGAAGACACAAGUGAACACCCUGAGUGAUCCGACCCCCCAACCUAGGGGACUUAGUAAAUCAGUGGUUUAGAUCAUGGGGUUCUUUGUGUUUUGACCCAAGAUCUGGACCUGGACAAUCAGAAGCUCCUCACCCACCCCACUCCCAACCUGUGCUUGGAAUAUACACUCUCCCCACUGUUCUCAAAGUGGGAGCCGUUUUCAAGGACGCAACCUUGAGAGAGCAAUAUGCUGUUGAGACCGUCUAGACAGUGACUGAACCCAGUACACGGGCCUCUCACUGCUGUGGCCUCUCCCAUUGCGGAGCACAGGCCCCGGACGCGCAGGCUCAGUGGCCAUGGCUCACGGGCCCAGCCGCUCCGCGGCGUGUGGGAUCCUCCCGGACCAGGGCACGAACCCGCGUCCCCUGCAUCGGCAGGCGGACUCCCAACCACUGCGCCACCAGGGAAGCCCUGUGAGUCUUUUUUUUAGCUCAUAAAUCUAUAAAUGGUGGCAUUCAUUUCUCUAACUUAAGGUGAGCAUUCCUCCUAAGAGGAUAAAUCCCAUACUUAAAUUAAAUAGGGUGUUAGUCCUCAUAAGAAAGAAAGUGAUGGCAAUAAUAUCAAGUCAUACUGCACACAGAAACUGGCAAAUUCUUGUUCUCUCCCUCCCUCCCCCACCCCACACUUUCUUUUCUCAGGCUAGAGUGUUUGCAUUAAAUCAUAAACCUUAUAAUGGAUUUAUAGAAACGGUGGUAAUAAAAUAAAACUGUCAAAAUGAAAGUUAAGAACAGAACUGGCUGCCACUUGAAAUGGCAUCUUAUGAUCUUAGAUUCCUGAAUAGUGUGAGCUAGGCACUCGAUUCUAUCCUAGGAAUCACUAUGGAUACGUGAAACAAACAAGGAAGGAGAGAUGAGCCGGGCUGACGGAGGGGGAUAUUAAUUAAUGGAAAAAACUUCACAAGGAACAAAUUUCACAUGGAAACAGAAGUUUCAAAAACUAUAUUGAAAACAUUUUACCCAUGACAUUCCUGUAUCAUAAACAUACUACAGACACACAGAUAGCCAACAGGUACAUGAAAACGUGCUCAACAUCACUUACCAUCAGGAAAAUGCAAAUCCGAACCACAAUGAGAUACCACUUCACACCUGCUAUAAUGGCUAUUAUCAAAAAGACAAGAAACAACAAGUGUUGGAGAGGAUGUGGAGAAGAGGGAUCCCCUGUGCACUCUUGGUGGGAAUGUAAAUUGGUGCAAUCACUAUGGAAAACAGUAUGGAGGAUCCUCAAAAAAUCAAAAGUAGGACUACCAUAGUAAAUGGAUCUAGUGGAUCUAGCAUUUCCACUGUUGGGUAUUUAUCAAAGGAAAAAACCCCACUAACUUGAAAAGGUACCUGCACCCUCAUAUUCAUUGCAGCAUUAUUUACAAUAGCCAAGACAUGGAAAGAAACUGAAUGUCCAUCAAUGGAUGAAUGGAAAAGGAAACGUGGUAUAUAUAUACACAAUCUAAUAUUAUUCAGCCAUACAAAGAAGGGAAUCCCAACAUUUGUAACAACGUGGAUGGACCUCGAGGGCAUUAUGCUAAGUGAAAUAACUCAGACAGAAAAUGACAAGUACUGUAUGAUCUCACUUAUAUGUGGAAUCUAAAACAAAACCAAAGCUCAUUGAAACAGAGAAUUACAAUGAAUCUGUAGAUUGCUUU